CUCCAUGUCAUCCUUUAGAUGAGUUCCCAGUUGCGCAAAUGGAGUUUGCUAGGCUUGAAAAUUGAGAAGGAUGGCCGUCUUGUGUUUUUUUGGUUUGUUUUUCCUCAGAAAACCGUUCCAAAUUUCUGAAGGAAGAAAGGAGCAGACUUGUCUAAACAUGGGCAAACUAAAUUCUUCUGAAAUGGAGCUGGCUGGAUGGGAAUGUAGGUGCUCUUUAAAAGGGUAG
rnacentral:lncRNA from 1 species